ACGUCCGGUUUAAACCGGAAGUAGUGACAUCCUGAAUCUGUCAUGGCUGUAAAAAUGAAUGUUUUGGCGCUCCCAAUAUUAGUUUUACUAACGUCCGUGGUGCUGUUACACUUAUUCAUCUGUCCGUUCACCAAAGUGGAAGAAAGCUUCAACUUGCAAGCGGCCCACGACCUCCUGUAUCACACGUUUGACUUUGACAAGUACGACCACCAUGAGUUCCCCGGUGUGGUUCCACGAACGUUCAUCGGUCCCCUGCUCAUCAGCAUCCUUUGCUCCCCUGUUGUCUUUCUGUCCUCUCUGCUGGGCGUGCCCAAAUUCUCCACACAGCUCAUCGUCCGAGCCUCUCUGGGAGCAUGCGUGAUCGCUGCGCUGUGGCAUAUGCAGCGAGAGGUGAAGAGGCAGUUUGGCUCCACGGUGGCCCUCCUGUUCUGCCUGAUGUGCGCCUCUCAGUUUCACCUCAUGUUCUACAGCACCAGGACGCUCCCAAAUGUGUUUGCGCUACCAAUUGUCGUGGUUGCAUUCACCUCUUGGAUGGCUCACAAACACGGCAGCUUCAUCGGCCUCUCCGCCUUCGCCAUUAUUGUGUUCCGCUCGGAGCUCUGCAUCUUGCUGGGUCUUAUGUUGCUUAUAUCUCUGUUGAGCAGAAAGCUGCGCUUCCCGGAACUUCUUUACUACGCUGUUCCCGCUGGAUUGCUCUCAUUGGCUCUGACUGUGGCGAUUGACACGUUCUUUUGGAGGAAGCCUUUGUGGCCAGAAGGCCAGGUGUUUUGGUAUAACACCAUUCUCAACAAAAGUUCCAACUGGGGAACCUCACCCUUUCUCUGGUAUUUCUACUCGGCUUUGCCCCGCGGCCUGGGCUGCACUCUGCCGCUGGUCCCCGUCGGGCUGCUGGACCGGCGGAUGAGGAUCCUACUGCUACCACCAGUGGCCUUCAUCCUUGUCUACUCGCUGCUGCCGCACAAAGAGCUGCGCUUCAUCAUCUACACCUUCCCCGUGCUCACUCUCCUGGCCGCCCGAGGCUGCUCUUUUAUUUUAAGCAACUAUCACAAAUCGUGGAUGUAUAAACUGGGAUCGGCUGUUGUGGUGGGCCAGCUGGUGACGAACGCGGCGUACUCGGGAGUUUGCCUGUACGUUUCCCAUCACAAUUACCCAGGAGGCCGAGCGAUGCAGGAACUGCACAGGCUGUUGCCGCCCACGGCAGACGUCUUUGUUCACAUUGACACCUACGCUGCUGAAACAGGAGUGUCUCGCUUCUUAGAGCAAAAUCCACACUGGAGAUACGACAAACGAGAGGAUCUGGACCCCGCAAGUCCCGAAAUGGAAAUGUUCUCGCACCUCCUGAUGGAGGCAAACGCCACCAAGAUGGAGCUCCUGCGCGACACUCAUCGGCCCCUGGCCUUCGUACAAGGCUAUGACGGCAUCGCUCGCCACUUGUUUCGCUUGCCUCCGUUUAGCGUGAGGUUGGCAAGCAAAACUGUACUGAUGCAGAGGACCACGUUCAAGGAGUCUCAUUGAGGAGUCAGGUGACCAGCAUUCUCACUUCAUCUCCUUCAGGAGUUUACAUGAAAGAAAGAAGCACAAGCCGGGCUUUCGGUUCCUUUGGCUACUGAAACUGCGUCUGGUGCGGUCUUAAGGGAGCCGUUGAACGAAUCGUCACCCGCGCCGGACGCAUCUUCCUCCCUGUCCAUGGCGGCGGGCGGCCCAAAGCUUUCUGUCGUGUCGUCAGGUCUGCCUUGUCAGAUGGGAU